GAACGCGAAAGUCCCGCAAGGGAUAAGUAGAGUGGCAGACGGGUGAGUAACACGUGGGAACGUGCCCAAAGGUACGGAACAACUCCGGGAAACUGGAGCUAAUACCGUAUGUGUCCGUAAGGAGAAAGAUUUAUCGCCUUUGGAUCGGCCCGCGUCGGAUUAGCUGGUUGGUGGGGUAAGGGCUCACCAAGGCGACGAUCGGUAGCUGGUCUGAGAGGACGAGCAGCCACACUGGGAUUGAGAACGGCCCAGACUCCUACGGGGGGCAGCAGUGAGGAAUUUUCCGCAAUGGGCGCAAGCCUGACGGAGCAACGCCGCGUGCAGGAGGACGCGUUUCGACGUGUAAACUGCUUUUCUGUGGGACGAGCGUGGACGGUACCACAGGAAGAAGCCCCGGCUAACUACGUG
rnacentral:rRNA from 1 species